UACGAAGGGGGCUAGCGUUGCUCGGAAUUACUGGGCGUAAAGGGCGCGUAGGCGGACUGUUAAGUUAGAGGUGAAAGCCCAGGGCUCAACCUUGGAAUUGCCUUUGAUACUGGCAGUCUUGAGUACGGAAGAGGUAUGUGGAACUCCGAGUGUAGAGGUGAAAUUCGUAGAUAUUCGCAAGAACACCAGUGGCGAAGGCGGCUCACUGGCCCGAUACUGACGCUGAGGCACGAAAGCGUGGGGAGCAAACAGG
rnacentral:rRNA from 1 species